GACAUGGCUCAGUUUGGUAGAGCGCUGCGUUCGGGACGCAGAGGCCGCAGGUUCGAAUCCUGUUGUCC
rnacentral:tRNA from 1 species